rnacentral:rRNA from 1 species
GACGAACGCUGGCGGCGUGCUUAACACAUGCAAGUCGAACGGAAAGGCCCUGCUUUUGUGGGGUGCUCGAGUGGCGAACGGGUGAGUAACACGUGAGUAACCUGCCCUUGACUUUGGGAUAACUUCAGGAAACUGGGGCUAAUACCGGAUAGGAUCUCCUGCUGCAUGGUGGGGGUUGGAAAGUUUCGGCGGUUGGGGAUGGACUCGCGGCUUAUCAGCUUGUUUGUGGGGUAGUGGCUGACCAAGGCUUUGACGGGUAGCCGGCAUGAGAGGGUGACCGGCCACCAUGGGACUGAGGUACGGCCCAGAAUCCUACGGGAGGCAGCAGUGGGGAACAUUGCACAAUGGGCGGAAGCCUGAUGUAGCAACGCCGCGUGCGGGAUGCCGGCCUUCGGGUUGUAAACAGCUUUCGCCUGUGCCGAAGCGUGAGUGACGGUAAUGGGUAAAGAAGCAACGGCUAACUACGUG